rnacentral:ncRNA from 1 species
UAGCGACAAGGGCAAACUCUGCCGAAAGGCGAGGACGCAAAGCCACCGGUCUACAGGCUCAGCCCAGGAUAGCGGGGCUGCCGGC